UUUGCGUGCCUGUGUGUGUGUGUGAUACUGUGUUGCAGUAUAACUGCAUGGCUCAUUUACUAUUCAGCACAGCUGCAUCCAGAGCAGCUGGAAACAACUCACUGUUGUUUACUCAACUCUAACACUACGGAAUGAACACCUUAUUUUUAAAAGGUCGAGGAAUAACUUUAUUUAAUUCUCAAACACAACAAAGGAAAAUAUACGUCCUAUGGAGCAGGUAGGGAUUAGACGGUACAGAGACGGGUCAUUAAGGAGCAGGUAGGGGUUAGACAGUACAGAGACAGGUCAUUAAGGAGCAGGUAGGGGUUAGACAGUACAGAGACAGGUCAUUAAGGAGCAGGUAGGGGUUAGACAGUACAGAGACAGGUCAUUAAGGAGCAGGUAGGGGUUAGACAGUACAGAGACAGGUCAUUAAGGAGCAGGUAGGGGUUAGACAGUACAGAGACAGGUCAUUAAGGAGCAGGUAGGGGUUAGACAGUACAGAGACAGGUCAUUAAGGAGCAGGUAGGGGUUAGACAGUACAGAGACAGGUCAUUAAGCAGCAGGUAGGGGUUAGACAGUAGAGAGACAGGUCAUUAGGGAGCAGGUAGGGGUUAGACAGUACAGUGACAGGUCAUUAAGGAGCAGGUAGGGGUUAGACAGUAUAGAGACAGGUCAUUAAGGAGCAGGUAGGGGUUAGACAGUACAGAGACGGGUCAUUAAGGAGCAGGUAGGGGUUGGACAGUACAGAGACAGGUCAUUAAGGAGAGGGUAGGGGUUAGACAGUACAGAAACAGGUCAUUAAGGAGCAGGAAGGGGUUAGACAGUACAGAGACAGGUCAUUAAGGAGCAGGUAGGGGUUAGACAGUACAGAGACAGGUCAUUACGGAGCAGGUAGGGGUUAGACAGUACAGAGACAGGUCAUUAAGGACCAGGUAGGGGUUAGACAGUACAGAGACAGGUCAUUACGGAGCAGGUAGGGGUUAGACAGUACAGAGACAGGUCAUUAAGGAGAGGGUAGGGGUUAGACAGUACAGAAACAGGUCAUUAAGGAGCAGGUAGGGGUUAGACAGUACAGAGACAGGUCAUUAAGGACCAGGUAGGGGUUAGACAGUACAGAGACAGGUCAUUACGGAGCAGAUAGGGGUUAGACAGUACAGAGACAGGUCAUUAAGGAGCAGGUAGGGGUUAGACAGUAGAGACAGGUCAUUAAGGAGCAGGUAGGGGUUAGACAGUACAGAGACAGGUCAUUACGGAGCAGGUAGGGGUGGGACAGAUUUGAGCUAAUUUGACAUUAAAGACAUUGAGAGCCCAGUGCCUCCAAACCAAGGCUGACAUCUUGUUAUCCAGGUGAUUUAGUUAAGCUUUGUUUCCCUAGUAGAGCCACGGCGCUCCAGACAGCCCUCCCCAUGCAUCACUACAGGGCGGCUAAACGUACACUUUGUACUUUGUGGCGUUCUGCAGACGAAGGCUAGAAGCCUGACACCUUUACAUGCCUUCUUGUGUACGUGCGAUCAUGUCAAGGGCUUACGUGAUUUUCAAAAGGUCACAAAAAGGAAUCAAACCUUUAUCACCUGUUGUUUGGUCCACCCUGCCUUCCACCGGUAUGUACACCCCUUCAUUACCUCUCUCUCUCUCUCUCUCUCUCUCUCUCUCUCUCUCUCUCUCUCUCUCUCCCUCUCUCCCUCUCUCUCUCUCUCC
ensembl:lncRNA